AACUCCAUCCCUGUGAACUUACCUUUUGUUGCUUCGGCUCCUUCGGGGGCCGGAGGUUCCAAACUCUUAAUUUUUUAGUAUCUCUGAGCCUAAAAACAAAUAAUCAAAACUUUCAACAACGGAUCUCUUGGUUCUGGCAUCGAUGAAGAACGCAGCGAAAUGCGAUAAGUAAUGUGAAUUGCAGAAUUCAGUGAAUCAUCGAAUCUUUGAACGCACAUUGCGCCCGCCGGUAUUCCGGCGGGCAUGCCUGUUCGAGCGUCAUUUCACCACUCAAGCUUGCUUGGUGUUGGAGCACUUGGUAACCCAAGGCUCCCAAGAUCAUCGGCGGUCUCGCUAGACCCUGAGCGCAGUAAUUUCUCUCGCUUGGAAGUCUGACGGGCUCUUGCCGUUAAACCCUUUUUCUAAGGUUGACCUCGGAUCAGGUAGGAAUACCCGCUGAACUUAAGCAUAUCAAUAAG
rnacentral:rRNA from 1 species